AUUGAACGCUGGCGGCGGGCCUAACACAUGCAAGUCGAGCGGAGCGGCGGACGGGUGAGUAAUGCCUAGGACUCUGCCUGGUAGUGGGGGAUAACGUCCGGAAACGGGCGCUAAUACCGCAUACUAUCAGAUGAGCCUAGGUAGGAUUUGCUCGUGGGGGGGGUAAAGGCCUACCAAGGCGACGAUCCGUUACUGGUCUGAGAGGAUGAUCAGUAACCCUGGAACGGAGACACGGUCCAGACUCCUACGGGAGGCAGGAGUGGGGAAUAUUGGACAAUGGGCGAAAGCCUGAUCCAGCCAGGCCGCGUGUGUGAAGAGGGUCUUCGGAUUGUAAAGCACUUUAAGUUGGGAGGCGUUACCAACAGAAUAAGCACCGGCUAACUUCGUGCCAGCAGCCGCGGUAAUUC
rnacentral:rRNA from 1 species